rnacentral:rRNA from 1 species
UGAGCAAUCUGCCCUUCUCAUCGGAAUAAGCGUUGGAAACGACGUCUAAUGCCGAACACGACCUCCUUUCGCAUGAUCGGAGGUGGAAAGCUCCGGCGGAGAAGGAUGAGCUCGCGGCCUAUCAGCUUGUUGGUGGGGUGAUGGCCUACCAAGGCGACGACGGGUAGCCGGCUUGAGAGGGUGACCGGCCACACUGGGACUGAGACACGGCCCAGACUCCGUACGGGAGCA